ensembl:snRNA U1 U1 spliceosomal RNA
AUGCUAAAAGCAGGGGAGAUACCAUGAUCACGAAGGUAGUUUUCACAGGGAAAAGCUUAUCCAUUGUACUCUGAAUAUGGUGACUCCUGUGAUUUUCCCCAAUGAAGGAAAUUUAACCGCAAAAUCUGUGGUAGUGGGGGGGACUGCGUUUAUGCUCUCUCUUG